rnacentral:rRNA from 1 species
UACGUAGGCAGCGAGCGUUGUUCGGAGUUACUGGGCGUAAAGGGUGUGUAGGCGGUUGUUUAAGUUUGGUGUGAAAUCUCCCGGCUCAACUGGGAGGGUGCGCCGAAUACUGAAUGACUUCGAGUGCGGGAGAGGAGAGUGGAAUUCCUGGUGUAGCGGUGAAAUGCGUAGAUAUCAGGAGGAACACCGGUGGUGUAGACGGCUCUCUGGACCGUAACUGACGCUGAGACACGAAAAGCGUGGGGGAGCGAAACGGG